UUCCGGGUACAAAAUACUUCGGGGCAUUCCCCGGCUAAAUGAAUACAUCUAAAUUAAAUAACAUAAUUAGAAAAACAUUCAAAACAAUUUAAACAUUCAAAGCAUUCAAUCAACAUAUCACUCCAAAAUUUUCCUACCCGAACCUAUAUUGCCUAUCAAUUUCAAUGUAUCACAAUUCUAUUAUGUUCUAACAAUAUCCACGCUCAUUCCAAAAACAACAAUGAACCAAAGUUAAUAUAAAUUCACUAUUUCAUUAAUUUCUCAAUUCCACCCCAAAUUCUCAUUACACAACUCGUAAUCAAGGAAAUCAAGCAACCAAUCAAGACUACACAACACACGAGAUUCGAUACAAAGUACCAUAUUCCAUCAACAAUAAAAUGAAAAUAUUUAGAGAGUAGGAAUGGACCUCAAUGAUGAUUUUUUUGAUGAAUAUUAUUCAAUGAAAUAAAUAAAACCCGCCUCUGAAAACUUCAACUUAUGCCUCAAUGACAAAUCUAUCCAACUCAGUAUCGGUGAAUAAACAGUCCAAAACUGACCACAACCAAAAUAGAAAUCACCACCCAAAUGCCGAAACAAGGAGCUGUGGAUAUCCAGAACCAGAUUUCAAAUAAAAACCUGUAGAAAAUCGAUGAGGCCGAAGCUCCGGUGAGCUGCCAACGGCCAAGAAUCAAUAGAAAAGGUUGGAUUUUGGUGAAAUACUUUCUCUUCGGCCAGCUUCAUCUAAAACCCCAUAGAAAUAAAGAGAUUUUGGGAUAUUCUUGAAACGGGGUCUGUCGACUUGAUGUGUGGGAAUUGAUUCUGGCGAGAUCUUUGCCGAAAAAGCUUGACAAUGACCGAAUUUAGAGCAUCAGUGCGUGCGUCAACUUCAUGAAGAAGAAAGGCAAAGCUGAGACCCCCUUUUGAAAUUGUGUUUCUUACCUCUGAUAUAGUGCAUGUGUGUGUGUGUUUCCGGUGAGAGAGUGCGUGUUUAUGGUGGAAACUUCAAUGGUGUGGCUGCCAAUGCCAAGGUUUGGUAUGCGUAUGUUCUGUUUCUGGUGUGGGAUCUUGUUAUUAGUGGAAAUAGAGGAUGAUGGAGUAUUUUGUGUCUCUAUGUGGGAGUGAUGGAUCCCUAUGUUAAUGGGAUUGGAGUCCUAUUCAUGAAUAUCGUUGGUGAGGUUUUCUUCUCUGUGUGAGGAUUUUGGUAUCUGGCUCCCUUUUUAUGUGUUGGUGUGUGGGACACGUGAACGGGUGAGGGGUAGGGGUAGGGUAGGUGAGGGUAAGGAUAUGGGGUUGUGAGGUUUCCUCUUUUAAUUGGAA
rnacentral:lncRNA from 1 species